rnacentral:rRNA from 1 species
CCUANGGGUGGCAGCAGUGGGGAAUCUUGCGCAAUGGGGGAAACCCUGACGCAGCAACGCCGCGUGAGCGAUGAAGGCUUUCGGGUCGUAAAGCUCUGUUAGGUGGAAAGAAUUUUUCCCAAUUCAAUAAAUUGGGAAAUUGACGGUACCAUCAGAGGAAGCACCGGCUAACUCCGUGCCAGCAGCCGCGGUAAUACGGAGGGUGCAAGCGUUGUUCGGAAUCAUUGGGCGUAAAGAGCGUGUAGGUGGUUAAAUAAGUCAGAUGUGAAAUCCCUUGGCUCAACCAAGGAAGUGCAUCUGAAACUGUUUAGCUUGAGUACGGGAGGGGAAUGGCGGAAUUCCCAGUGUAGAGGUGAAAUUCAUAGAUAUUGGGAGGAACACCAGUGGCGAAGGCGGCCUUCUAGCCCGAUACUGACACUGAGACGCGAAAGCGUGGGGAGCAAACAGGAUUAGAUACCCCUNUANUC